GUGCUCUGACAUUGCACUGUCAACUGAGUCACAUUAUCUGAAGACAGGUGUUUGACUUUCCAAAUCAGGUCAACUGAAUUUACCCCAGGUGGACUCCAAUUAAGCUGUAGAAACAUUUUAAGGAUGAUCAGCGGAAAUAGGAUACGCCUAAGCUCAAUUUGU